rnacentral:rRNA from 1 species
UACGUAGGAUGCAAGCGUUGUCCGGAAUUAUUGGGCGUAAAGAGCGCGCAGGCGGCAUACCAAGUUGGACGUGAAAUUUUAGGGCUUAACCCUAAAGGGUCGUCCAAAACUGGUAAGCUAGAGUGCAGGAGAGGAAAGCGGAAUUCCCGGUGUAGUGGUGAAAUGCGUAGAUAUCGGGAGGAACACCAGAGGCGAAGGCGGCUUUCUGGCCUGUAACUGACGCUGAGGCGCGAAGGCUGGGGUAGCGAACAGG